rnacentral:rRNA from 1 species
CGUCAAGUACUUUUACUUACACUCAUCGCCAGCACUACGAGCUAAGCUUAUACCCAAGGACUUGACGGUACCCAUAUCCCCUAGAGGAGCCUGUCCUAUAAUCGAUAACCCACGUUAAACCUCACCAUUUUUAGUUAAUCAGCCUGUAUACUACAUCUUCAGCACACAGCAUC